AACUAACUCUGGCGGCAUGCCUAACACAUGCAAGUCGAACGAAGGCUUCGGCCUUAGUGGCGCACGGGUGCGUAACGCGUGGGAAUCUGCCCUUUGGUUCGGAAUAACAGCUGGAAACGGCUGCUAAUACCGGAUGAUGACGAAAGUCCAAAGAUUUAUCGCCAGAGGAUGAGCCCGCGUUGGAUUAGGUAGUUGGUGGGGUAAAGGCCUACCAAGCCGACGAUCCAUAGCUGGUCUGAGAGGAUGAUCAGCCACACUGGGACUGAGACACGGCCCAGACUCCUACGGGAGGCAGCAGUGGGGAAUAUUGGACAAUGGGCGCAAGCCUGAUCCAGCAAUGCCGCGUGAGUGAUGAAGGCCCUAGGGUUGUAAAGCUCUUUUACCCGGGAAGAUAAUGACGGUACCGGGAGAAUAAGCCCCGGCUAACUCCGUG
rnacentral:rRNA from 1 species